rnacentral:rRNA from 1 species
UGAAGCUGGAUUCGCUAGUAAUCGCGCAUCAGCCAUGGCGCGGUGAAUACGUUCCCGGGCCUUGUACACACCGCCCGUCAAGCCAUGGAAGCCGGGGGCGCUUGAAGUGCGUUGCCGCAAGGCGCGCCCUAGAGCGAAACCGGUGACUGGGGCUAAGUCGUAACAAGGUACC